rnacentral:lncRNA from 1 species
AUGGUGGCAGUCACAGACUCUGGCUCCAGCCUCCCGCUGCUCCACUGCCCAACCUGGGCAGGUAAGCCCCCUUCUGGUUGACAUCUGGAUUUAGUUAAACGAGACAAACUAAUUGAGAAACUGAUUAUUGGUGAAAAGAAGUAUUACUUAUUUGGGAUAAACCUUGAUUUGUGUGACUUUACCACUGAACACCAGUCUUGCUCUUGGAUCCAUACUGCACUUGCCUACCACAAGCAUCUGAGGAGAGUUUUCCUGAUAGAUCUCAACAGUACACACAGCACUUUCUUGGUCACAUUCAGUUGGAGCCUCACAAGCCUCAGCAAAUUCCGACUGAUUCCAGGGUCUCAUUUGACGCAUCCACAGGGGCAUACACCUUGCGCGAGAUACUUGGGCCAUUGCCAUUGGCUCUGAAAGGAAUUGAGAAGACGGGUGAAGAGGAUGAUUAACUCAGGGGCUUACUGGGGCUUCCAGAGGAGGAAACUAAGCUUGAUAACCUGACAUAGUUCAACACUGCCCACAACAAGUGGAUUUCCACCUUUACCAUUGAGGAGGGAAAUCUAACAUUCCAAGACCAAAGAGGAAGAGGAAGAACUCCCGGGUGACAUUCAGUGAGGAUGAUGAGAUCAUCAACUCAGAGAAUGUGGAUCCCUCAGUUUGUCGAUUCAGGAACAUAGUGCAAACUGCAGUGGUCCCAGUCAAGAAGAAGCUGGGGGAGGGCCCUGGCUCCUUGGGCCUGGAGGAAUCAGGGAGAAGGCGCAUGCAGAACUUUGCCUUCAGGGGAGGACUCUACGGGGGCCUGUGCCCUACACACAGUGAAGCAGGCUCCCAGUUUCCACAAGACAGCACUCAUUGGUGGCUUGUUUAUGCCAUAUCCAAACCUUGCCCCUGUUGUGGACUUGACUCCCAUUGUGCCAGCAGCAGUGAACACGAACCCUGCACCAAACCUUGCAGUCCAUAACCCUGAAACUGUAAAUGAACCCAAGAAGAAUAAGUAUGCAAAAGAGGCUUGGCCAGACAAGAAGCCCACAUCUUCCUUACUGAUAU